UUUUUCAUGAAGCGUAUGUGAAA
rnacentral:snRNA from 1 species